UCGUCACACUAUCAUUAACUGAAUCCAUAGGUUAAUGAGGCGAACCGGGGGAACUGAAACAUCUAAGUACCCCGAGGAAAAGAAAUCAACCGAGAUUCCCCCAGUAGCGGCGAGCGAACGGGGAGGAGCCCAGAGCCUGAAUCAGCAUGUGUGUUAGUGGAAGCGUCUGGAAAGGCGCGCGAUACAGGGUGACAGCCCCGUACACAAAAGCGUAUGUGCUGUGAGCUCGAUGAGUAGGGCGGGACACGUGGUAUCCUGUCUGAAUAUGGGGGGACCAUCCUCCAAGGCUAAAUACUCCUGACUGACCGAUAGUGAACCAGUACCGUGAGGGAAAGGCGAAAAGAACCCCGGCGAGGGGAGUGAAAAAGAACCUGAAACCGUGUACGUACAAGCAGUGGGAGCCCCACCACUAAGCCAGUGGUGAACUCCACAUACGCAUCCUUUGCUGAGGAUACGGUUAACGGAGCGAAAGCGACGUUCAACCGCAAAAGAAGCAGAGGGGGCUUAGUGGUGGGGUGACUGCGUACCUUUUGUAUAAUGGGUCAGCGACUUAUAUUCUGUAGCAAGGUUAACCGAAUAGGGGAGCCGGAGGGAAACCGAGUCUUAACCGGGCGUUAAGUUGCAGGGUAUAGACCCGAAACCCGGUGAUCUAGCCAUGGGCAGGUUGAAGGUUGGGUAACACUAACUGGAGGACCGAACCGACUAAUGUUGAAAAAUUAGCGGAUGACCUGUGGCUGGGGGUGAAAGGCCAAUCAAACCGGGAGAUAGCUGGUUCUCCCCGAAAGCUAUUUAGGUAGCGCCUCGUGAAUUCAUCUCCGGGGGUAGAGCACUGUUUCGGCUAGGGGGCCAUCCCGGCUUACCAACCCGAUGCAAACUGCGAAUACCGGAGAAUGUUAUCACGGGAGACACACGGCGGGUGCUAACGUCCGUCGUGAAGAGGGAAACAACCCAGACCGCCAGCUAAGGUCCCAAAGUCAUGGUUAAGUGGGAAACGAUGUGGGAAGGCCCAGACAGCCAGGAUGUUGGCUUAGAAGCAGCCAUCAUUUAAAGAAAGCGUAAUAGCUCACUGGUCGAGUCGGCCUGCGCGGAAGAUGUAACGGGGCUAAACCAUGCACCGAAGCUGCGGCAGCGAACGUAUCACUUAAAGCGAUUCAGCGG
rnacentral:rRNA from 1 species